rnacentral:rRNA from 1 species
UAGGGAAUCUUCCACAAUGGGCGGAAAGCCUGAUGGAGCAACGCCGCGUGUGUGAUGAAGGGUUUCGGCUCGUAAACACUGUUGUAAGAGAAGAAUGACAUUGAGAGUAACUGUUCAAUGUGUGACGGUAUCUUACCAGAAAGGAACGGCUAAAUACGUACCAG